rnacentral:rRNA from 1 species
GACGAACGCUGGCGGCGUGCUUAACACAUGCAAGUCGAACGGAGAUUAUUAAUGAAGCUUGCGAUUUAAUAAUCUUAGUGGCGGACGGGUGAGUAACGCGUGGGCAACCUACCCAUAAGCGGGGGAUAACAGUUGGAAACGACUGCUAAUACCGCAUAAGCUAUAGAGGUCGCAUGACCUAAAUAGUAAAGGUGGCAUUUAAAGAUGCUAUCACUUAUGGAUGGGCCCGCGUCUGAUUAGCUAGUUGGUGGGGUAGUGGCCUACCAAGGCAACGAUCAGUAGCCGGCCUGAGAGGGUGGACGGCCACACUGGGACUGAGACACGGCCCAGACUCCUACGGGAGGCAGCAGUGGGGAAUAUUGCGCAAUGGGGGAAACCCUGACGCAGCGACGCCGCGUGAGCGAAGAAGGCCUUAGGGUCGUAAAGCUCUGUUGUAAGGGACGAAUGUUUAUCUGACGAACAGUCAGAUAAAGUGACGGUACCUUACCAGCAAGCCCCGGCUAACUACG